rnacentral:rRNA from 1 species
GACGAACGCUGGCGGCGUGCUUAACACAUGCAAGUCGAACGGAAAGGCCCUGCUUUUGUGGGGUGCUCGAGUGGCGAACGGGUGAGUAACACGUGAGUAACCUGCCCUUGACUUUGGGAUAACUUCAGGGAACUGGGGCUAAUACCGGAUAGGAGCUCCUGCUGCAUGGUGGGGGUUGGAAAGUUUCGGCGGUUGGGGAUGGACUCGCGGCUUAUCAGCUUGUUGGUGGGGUAGUGGCUUACCAAGGCUUUGACGGGUAGCCGGCCUGAGAGGGUGACCGGCCACAUUGGGACUGAGAUACGGCCCAGACUCCUACGGGAGGCAGCAGUGGGGAAUAUUGCACAAUGGGCGGAAGCCUGAUGCAGCAACGCCGCGUGCGGGAUGACGGCCUUCGGGUUGUAAACCGCUUUCGCCUGUGACGAAGCGUGAGUGACGGUAAUGGGUAAAGAAGCACCGGCUAACUACGUGCCAGCAGCCGCGGUGAUACGUAGGGUGCGAGCGUUGUCCGGAUUUAUUGGGCGUAAAGGGCUCGUAGGUGGUUGAUCGCGUCGGAAGUGUAAUCUUGGGGCUUAACCCUGAGCGUGCUUUCGAUACGGGUUGACUUGAGGAAGGUAGGGGAGAAUGGAAUUCCUGGUGGAGCGGUGGAAUGCGCAGAUAUCAGGAGGAACACCAGUGGCGAAGGCGGUUCUCUGGGCCUUUCCUGACGCUGAGGAGCGAAAGCGUGGGGAGCGAACAGGCUUAGAUACCCUGGUAGUCCACGCUGUAAACGGUGGGUACUAGGUGUGGGGUCCAUUCCACGGGUUCCGUGCCGUAGCUAACGCUUUAAGUACCCCGCCUGGGGAGUACGGCCGCAAGGCUAAAACUCAAAGGAAUUGACGGGGCCCCGCACAAGCGGCGGAGCAUGCGGAUUAAUUCGAUGCAACGCGUAGAACCUUACCUGGGUUUGACAUGGAUCGGGAGUGCUCAGAGAUGGGUGUGCCUCUUUUGGGGUCGGUUCACAGGUGGUGCAUGGCUGUCGUCAGCUCGUGUCGUGAGAUGUUGGGUUAAGUCCCGCAACGAGCGCAACCCUUGUUCACUGUUGCCAGCACGUUAUGGUGGGGACUCAGUGGAGACCGCCGGGGUCAACUCGGAGGAAGGUGGGGAUGACGUCAAGUCAUCAUGCCCCUUAUGUCCAGGGCUUCACGCAUGCUACAAUGGCUGGUACAGAGAGUGGCGAGCCUGUGAGGGUGAGCGAAUCUCGGAAAGCCGGUCUCAGUUCGGAUUGGGGUCUGCUACUCGACCUCAUGAAGUCGGAGUCGCUAGUAAUCGCAGAUCAGCAACGCUGCGGUGAAUACGUUCCCGGGGCU